rnacentral:rRNA from 1 species
CCUACGGGAGGCAGCAGUGGGGAAUAUUGCACAAUGGGCGCAAGCCUGAUGCAGCCAUGCCGCGUGUGUGAAGAAGGCCUUCGGGUUGUAAAGCACUUUCAGCGGGGAGGAAGGCGUUAAGGUUAAUAACCUCGGCGAUUGACGUUACCCGCAGAAGAAGCACCGGCUAACUCCGUGCCAGCAGCCGCGGUAAUACGGAGGGUGCAAGCGUUAAUCGGAAUUACUGGGCGUAAAGCGCACGCAGGCGGUCUGUCAAGUCGGAUGUGAAAUCCCCGGGCUCAACCUGGGAACUGCAUUCGAAACUGGCAGGCUAGAGUCCUGUAGAGGGGGGUAGAAUUCCAGGUGUAGCGGUGAAAUGCGUAGAGAUCUGGAGGAAUACCGGUGGCGAAGGCGGCCCCCUGGACAAAGACUGACGCUCAGGUGCGAAAGCGUGGGGAGCAAACAGGAUUAGAUACCCCUGUAGUC